rnacentral:rRNA from 1 species
CUUAAUUGCUAUCACAGAAAAAUACACAGUGGUUUGAAAAGAUAGAAGAAAAGCCUGGUCAGGCCUGGUUAGUACUUGGAUGGGAGACCACCUAGGAAGACUAGGUGCAGUAGGCA